rnacentral:misc_RNA from 1 species
UUGAAAUUUUGUUUAGCCUACCAUCCGCGAAUGGAUGGGCAAAUGGAGGUCUUCUUGAGCUAUACCAUUGAAUCCUAUCUGCAUUUUUUCUCCUCGGAGCAGCCUAAGCUAUGGUUGAAGUGCUUGUGCUGGGCUGAGUAUUGGUACAACACCUCCUUCUAAGGUGCUGUCUGCCAAACACCAUUUGACCACCUCCCACCUCAGUUGUUUCUUGCAUGGAGAGACACAUGUUGAAUCCGUGGCCCAAAAUUUGGUUGAUUGUGAUGAAAUUUUGAGCCACGGAUUCAACAUGUGUCUCUCCAUG